UUACGGCCACAUCACAUUGAAACACCAAUUCCUGCAAGAUCACCGAAGAUAAGCAACGUCGACCCUGGUCAGUACUUUGAUGAAUGACCGCUUGGAAAUACCAGGUGCU